AAAAAAACUGAUUUAAAGGCUGUUGGACUGCAAAUGGCUCUCGACUUACUUUACGCAGAGGAAAAACGUGAUUUAGUGACUGGACUGAAGACACGCACCAACGCUGGCAGACCAAACUGGGACAAAGUAUUUCAGAAAUUAGUUGACGAAGAUAAGGGAAAGGUAACGGUGUUCUACUGCGGCCCCCCACAAUUGGCAAAAGAACUGAGAAAAAAAUGUAACGAGUUCGGCUUCGACUUCCGCAAAGAAAUAUUUUAGAUGUAUAUUUAGCGAGCCGACUUGACUGCUGCUGUUGUUUAUUGCUAUUUCAUAAUCAUGCAUAUCUCACAAAUACCGAGUGAUGCAACGAGCUGUUUGCAACAUCUUGGAUUUUCUCUGAUUGCCAGCGAAUUUUGGCUGGCAUUCCCCAAUUUUUUUGCUGGCAUUCCCCAAUUUUCUGCUGGGGACUUUUUUUUUCUUUUGAUAAUCACUAUGAAAAUCCCCCAAAUUCUUGCGCUAGUACGCAUAACUUUAUUUAUUUAUUUAUUUUAUUUACCUUUAAGCGUUUAAUUUUUAAAAACUCUAAAAAUUUCGUUUAAAUUUUUUUAACAUCCGCAUUUAUGUUAAUUUGCAAUUACGUCAUCGGUUUCGAACUGAAUCAUGUGGCAGAAAAAUGUUACCUGCCACGGGUUUACUACCUCUGCCUCUGCGAAUGUUAUAAUCUGGGUAGAAUAGAAUAUACGUACACGUCACGAACACAAAA